rnacentral:lncRNA from 1 species
UCAGCUGAGAAUGGCAGGAAGGCAGGAGAGAUGGGUAGAUGAAGAAAAGAGGGGGUAGGAAGGAGAGGAGAACAGGGACAGGGAGAAGGAGAGAGGCUGAGUGGGACAGGACUUGUGAAGAGUUAUAAGAAAGGAAAUGGUAUGGGAGAGAGGAAUUAAGGCUCAGAAGAAAGAGGACAGGCGUAUGGAAAGAGAUGGAAAAAGCGGAGAGCCAUCAGCUCGGGACUCCCUCUCUCUGCCACCCCCGCUGACGUCCUGCCCAGGACACAUUAACCAGGAAGAGACACAGUGGCUUUAGGGACCAGAUAGCCGACGGCCAAGGUACUGCAGUCAGCACUCAUAUCUGGAGCAUACAGUAUCUACGUUCUCUGGAGGCUAUGAGAUCUCCAAAGGUAAUCCGCCAAACUAACCAAAAAAAAAAACAGAUUUAUUCCCCCACAGUGGGGCUCCAGUCCUGCUGCUGGAGGGCUGUAGUGUGUCUGCAGGUUUUCUUUCCAGCUCAACUCUUAACGAGCUAACUCUGCUCGCUGUUGCCUUAAUUGGACCUAUUCAACAGCUUCUCCCAGCUCUGCGUGUGCUGCUGCUUAUAAAACAGACACCAGCUCUCCAGGAGCAGGACUGCACACCCCCCAAUCAACAGCAUCUCCGCAGUAAAGCGAAUGAACUGCAUUUUUCUCUCUGCCUUUUAACCUUCCUUCGCAGGGCACUCAUUUGAGAGCCACUGCUGUCAGCAAUGGCCAAAUUGUGUUCAGCUCCCUGAGCGGGGAGUUCAGCCAGCAUUACACAUGAAAAACCCACUCAUCUUCACACUCUUCGCACAGCAUGUCAUUUACACCUCAGAUCGUUAGGAACACAGAGGAAUCGUGCUGAAGGUCCGCUGUGACUCUGCUCUCUAUCAGCAUUUCAACACUUUUGCAGCCUCCUCCCCUUGAUCCUGACCUUCCUUAGGAGGAGGGGAGGCUCCUUGUAUGUUUAUGUCAUCCCGGGAAUAAACACGGACACACGCGGGCCACGACAGGGGGCACGCGCCAGAGCAGAGAAACGUGGGCUCUCUCCCCCGGCGUGCAGGAGAGCAGCGUUCUAACGUGGCGCGGCUGAGUACGAUCAAAUAAUUUUCACCCGGGACUGCAUGCCAUGAUUUCUGACGGCAGAUUGCCAGCACUCUUACCAGCGACACCGACGGGGGGGUGCUGUGUAAAGGCACAUACAAGAGGGGCUUAUGUCCUGCCCUAGCCAAAGGGCAGGCAGGCAGGCUUGUCAGGGAGCUGUGCCAGCCCAGGCUCCAGGAAUAGAGCGAGGG